rnacentral:rRNA from 1 species
CGUAAGGCGCCGAAUGAGUCAUUAAAAAAUUAACAUCAUCCGAUCCCUAGUCGGCAUAGUUUAUGGUUAAGACUACGACGGUAUCUGAUCGUCUUCGAUCCCCUAACUUUCGUUCUUGAUUAAUGAAAACAUCCUUGGCAAAAUGCUUUUCGCAGUAGUUAGUCUUCAAUAAAUCCAAAGAAUUUCACCUCUGACAAUUGAAUACUAAUGCCCCCAACUAUCCCUAUUAAUCAUUACGUCAAUCCUAAGAAACCAACAAAAUAGGAUCGAACGUCCUAUUCCAUUAUUCCAUGCUAAUGUAUUCAAGCGUUAGCUUGCUUUAAACAC